GACGAACGCUGGCGGCGUGCUUAACACAUGCAAGUCGAACGGAAAGGCCCUGCUUUUGUGGGGUGCUCGAGUGGCGAACGGGUGAGUAACACGUGAGUAACCUGCCCUUGACUUUGGGAUAACUUCAGGAAACUGGGGCUAAUACCGGAUAGGAGCUCCUGCUGCAUGGUGGGGGUUGGAAAGUUUCGGCGGUUGGGGAUGGACUCGCGGCUUACCAGCUUGUUGGUGGGGUAGUGGCUUACCAAGGCUUUGACGGGUAGCCGGCCUGAGAGGGUGACCGGCCACAUUGGGACUGAGAUACGGCCCAGACUCCUACGGGAGGCAGCAGUGGGGAAUAUUGCACAAUGGGCGGAAGCCUGAUGCAGCAACGCCGCGUGCGGGAUGACGACCUUCGGGUUGUAAACCGCUUUCGCCUGUGACGAAGCGUGAGUGACGGUAAUGGGUAAAGAAGCACCGGCUAACUACGUG
rnacentral:rRNA from 1 species